AUGCAGGUGGAGUACAGGGCUCUCAUGGACAACAAGACCUGGCGCCUCGUUCCUCGUCCUCGCCACGCCAAUAUUGUGACCGGCAAAUGGGUGUUUCGCCACAAGCUCAAGGCCGACGGCACCCUCGAGCGGUACAAGGCGAGAUGGGUCGUCCGCGGCUUCUCUCAACGCCCCGGCGUCGACUUCGACGAAACCUUCUCGCCCGUUGUCAAGGCGGCCACAAUCCGGGUCGUCCUCACCAUCGCUGCCACGCGUGACUGGCCCGUUCACCAGAUGGACGUCAACAACACCUUCUUACACGGCCGCCUCUCCGAGCAAGUGUACUGCCAACAACCUGCUGGGUUUGUCGACGAGGCGCACCCUGAUCAUGUGUACCUUCUCGACAAAUCUCUCUACGGCCUCAAAUAG
rnacentral:rRNA from 1 species